GCUUAGAUAGCUCGAUUGGUUAGAGCGUAUCACUGAAAAUGAUAAGGUUGCAGGUUCAAGUCCUGUUCUGAGCACCA
rnacentral:tRNA from 1 species